UACGUAGGGGGCAAGCGUUGUCCGGAUUUAUUGGGCGUAAAGAGCGUGUAGGCGGCUUUACAGGUCCGUUGUGAAAACUCGAGGCUCAACCUCGAGACGCCGAUGGAAACCCCCCAGCUAGAGUCCGGAAGAGGAGAGUGGAAUUCCUGGUGUAGCGGUGAAAUGCGCAGAUAUCAGGAAGAACACCCGUGGCUAAGGCGGCUCUCUAGUACGGUACUGACGCUGAGACGCGAAAGCGUGGGGAGCGAACAGG
rnacentral:rRNA from 1 species